AGAGUUUGAUCAUGGCUCAGAGCGAACGCUGGCGGCAGGCUUAACACAUGCAAGUCGAGCGGGCGUAGCAAUACGUCAGCGGCAGACGGGUGAGUAACGCGUGGGAACGUACCUUUUGGUUCGGAACAACCCAGGGAAACUUGGGCUAAUACCGGAUAAGCCCUUACGGGGAAAGAUUUAUCGCCGAAAGAUCGGCCCGCGUCUGAUUAGCUAGUUGGCGAGGUAAUGGCUCACCAAGGCGACGAUCAGUAGCUGGUCUGAGAGGAUGAUCAGCCACAUUGGGACUGAGACACGGCCCAAACUCCUACGGGAGGCAGCAGUGGGGAAUAUUGGACAAUGGGCGCAAGCCUGAUCCAGCCAUGCCGCGUGAGUGAUGAAGGCCCUAGGGUUGUAAAGCUCUUUUGUGCGGGAAGAUAAUGACGGUACCGCAAGAAUAAGCCCCGGCUAACUUCGUGCCAGCAGCCGCGGUAAUACGAAGGGGGCUAGCGUUGCUCGGAAUCACUGGGCGUAAAGGGUGCGUAGGCGGGUCUUUAAGUCAGGGGUGAAAUCCUGGAGCUCAACUCCAGAACUGCCUUUGAUACUGAAGAUCUUGAGUUCGGGAGAGGUGAGUGGAACUGCGAGUGUAGAGGUGAAAUUCGUAGAUAUUCGCAAGAACACCAGUGGCGAAGGCGGCUCACUGGCCCGAUACUGACGCUGAGGCACGAAAGCGUGGGGAGCAAACAGGAUUAGAUACCCUAGUAGUCC
rnacentral:rRNA from 1 species